rnacentral:rRNA from 45 species
GGGUUGUGAGGUUAAGCGACUAAGCGUACACGGUGGAUGCCCUGGCAGUCAGAGGCGAUGAAGGGCGUGCUAAUCUGCGAUAAGCGCCGGUAAGGUGAUAUGAACCGUUAUAACCGGCGAUACCCGAAUGGGGAAACCCAGUGUGAUUCGUCACACUAUCAUUAACUGAAUCCAUAGGUUAAUGAGGCGAACCGGGGGAACUGAAACAUCUAAGUACCCCGAGGAAAAGAAAUCAACCGAGAUUCCCCCAGUAGCGGCGAGCGAACGGGGAGGAGCCCAGAGCCUGAAUCAGCAUGUGUGUUAGUGGAAGCGUCUGGAAAGGCGCGCGAUACAGGGUGACAGCCCCGUACACAAAAGCGCAUGUGCUGUGAGCUCGAUGAGUAGGGCGGGACACGUGGUAUCCUGUCUGAAUAUGGGGGGACCAUCCUCCAAGGCUAAAUACUCCUGACUGACCGAUAGUGAACCAGUACCGUGAGGGAAAGGCGAAAAGAACCCCGGCGAGGGGAGUGAAAAAGAACCUGAAACCGU